GACGAACGCUGGCGGCGCGCCUAACACAUGCAAGUCGAACGAGCGAGAGAGAGCUUGCUUUCUCGAGCGAGUGGCGAACGGGUGAGUAACGCGUGAGGAACCUGCCUCAAAGAGGGGGACAACAGUUGGAAACGACUGCUAAUACCGCAUAAGCCCACGGCUCGGCAUCGAGCAGGGGGAAAAGGAGCAAUCCGCUUUGAGAUGGCCUCGCGUCCGAUUAGCUAGUUGGUGGGGUAACGGCCCACCAAGGCGACGAUCGGUAGCCGGACUGAGAGGUUGAACGGCCACAUAGGGACUGAGACACGGCCCAGACUCCUACGGGAGGCAGCAGUGGGGAAUAUUGCACAAUGGGGGAAACCCUGAUGCAGCGACGCCGCGUGGAGGAAGAAGGUCUUCGGAUUGUAAACUCCUGUUGUUGGGGAAGAUAAUGACGGUACCCAACAAGGAAGUGACGGCUAACUACGUG
rnacentral:rRNA from 1 species